rnacentral:rRNA from 1 species
CCUACGGGUGGCAGCAGUGAGGAAUAUUGGUCAAUGGACGCAAGUCUGAACCAGCCAUGCCGCGUGCGGGAAGACGGCUCUAUGAGUUGUAAACUGCUUUUGUACGGGGGUAAACGCAGAUACGCGUACCUGUCUGAAAGUAUCCUACGAAUAAGGAUCGGCUAACUCCGUGCCAGCAGCCGCGGUAAUACGGAGGAUUCAAGCGUUAUCCGGAUUUAUUGGGUUUAAAGGGUGCGUAGGCGGUCGGAUAAGUUAGAGGUGAAAGCCCGGGGAUCAACUUCGGAAUUGCCUAUGAUACUGGGAGGCUAGAGAGGAGGUGAGGUAGGCGGAAUGUAUGGUGUAGCGGUGAAAUGCUUAGAGAUCGUACAGAACACCGAUUGCGAAGGCAGCUUACCAAGCUACUUCUGACGCUGAGGCACGAAAGCGUGGGGAGCGAACAGGAUUAGAUACCCGAGUAGUC